AGUGGUUACUCUUUGUUUUGUUUUUUUUUGUUUUUUUUGUUUUUCUUUUGUUUCGGUUGCUUCCCCCUCUCUCUCUCUCGAUACCACUGAAAGGAAGAAAGUUGAAUCGAUUUAUCUAAAUCGACGAAAUCAGAACAACAGAAGUUUUGAUGAGUUUCCGGACCAAAUACAUAUAUCGUCGUCGUCAUCCAAAUCGACUUAAUCAAAACAAUAGAAGUUUUGAUCGGUUUCCAGAUCAAAUACAUAUCUCGUCAUCGUCUUCUUCUUCGUCCUGAGAUUUUUCCUUCUUGGUUUCACGAAACCUUGUAUCAGGUAUGGAUCUUGUUUCGUUCUAGUUUUAAAGUUUUUGUGGGACUAUCUUUAUUUGUUGUGACAUCCGUCUUUUAGUAUUGGUGAAUUUUGAUUUUGUCGAUUUGGAUCAUAUCUCCUUCGUAAUGUGAACGAAACUUGGAGCAUAUCUCCUUCUUCCUCAUGGUGGUGCUCCUGCUUCCUCUUUUCUGAGUGAUUAGUGUUGGUUGGAUUUGGUUUAGUGUUGGUCUGGUGAUGUGAGUCAAGUUUUCUAUCAAGAGAGCUGCUGUCAGGAUUCAGCGUGCAAAGCGGCGGAGGGAUGAUCCAGAUGAAGAUAUGGAUGCAGAGACUAAGUGGGCUUUAAAAUACUUGCCACAUGGACAAACAAGUUGAAGCUAAAGACUCAGAGAAGAGUGAUUCUUUGGUGGUUCUUAAAUAAAGGUCAGGGCGCGGGGAACUAUAGGGCAAGUAAAAGCAGACAGAGUUGUAGAGGACGAGAUCACUUGGUACUGUGUUUUUGUUGCUUUGCAGAUCAUUUGUUUCAUUCUUCUCUUCUCUUUCUCACGGUAAUUACAAUUUCUAUAUUUGAUUUUGACUGAAAUUGAUUGAUGCUUUUGGGAGUAAUUUUAGUUAUGUAAUUGACAUUU